rnacentral:rRNA from 1 species
GACGAACGCUGGCGGCGUGCUUAACACAUGCAAGUCGAACGGAAAGGCCCUGCUUUUGUGGGGUGCUCGAGUGGCGAACGGGUGAGUAACACGUGAGUAACCUGCCCUGGACUUUGGGAUAACUUCAGGAAACUGGGGCUAAUACCGGAUAGGAGCUCCUGCUGCAUGGAGGGGGUUGGAAAGUUUCGGCGGUUGGGGAUGGACUCGCGGCUUAUCAGCUUGUUGGUGGGGUAGUGGCUUACCAAGGCUUUGACGGGUAGCCGGCCUGAGAGGGUGACCGGCCACAUUGGGACUGCGAUACGGCCCAGACUCCUACGGGGGGCAGCGGUGGGGAAUCUUGCACAAUGGGCGGAAGCCUGAUACAGCGACGCCGCGUGCGGAAUGACGGCCUUCGGGUUGUAAACCGCUUUCGCCUGUGACGAGGCGUGAGUGACGGUACUGGGGAAAGAAGCACCGGCUAACUCCGU